CGGUCUUCUUUCAAACUAUGAUGAAAACAUAGAGAUGGCUUCGUUUGACAGCGAUGAGGACACAGUGUUUGAGACAAGAAAUCUGAAGCGAUGAUUUGGGACCAGUGGCUUCAGCUGCACAGACUGACCAAGGAGGUGCAAAUCCACCAGUGGAAUCACCUUACCAAUCCUCGGGUUUUAUUUUUUUUCUAAUUGCUUAUAAUGAGUACUAAUUAACAGCACAAAAACUUAUGUGGCUGGGGCAGGGGGAAGGGGACCAAACCUAUUUCCUUCACACGUUUUGUUGGGAAAGGUGGAGUUGCAAACUAAAUGAUGCUGCACUGAGUGUUGUUAACUGCACAGGGAGAUGCUUGCUAAUGAAAAUGUGGCUCCUGGAUGAGUACUCGGCAUUUGAAAAUUUCUGUCUCUGGAUUCAAGUAUUGCAGCUACGUCUGCUGGCCUAUAAAUCUUACCAGUAUUUUAUAUGUGCUCAUAUCCCUCUCUCCACUGACUGCAGCAGACAGCUUAAAGUAUCAGGCAAGUGGAUUCCUUUUGGAGGCGGAUCCUGUUUCCUUCAUGCCGUAUUGGGUUACUUCUUUAGUAAAUGUCCUUGGAAUCAACUCGGCUUCUGCUGAGCUGGGAGAGCUCUUGUUAUCUGUUACAAUAGCGGUGGAUGUGGGUAGUGUUGCUUAGUUCAGGCAGACAGAGAAUAGCUUGGGGAAGGAGCAGUGAGUUAAAUGCGUCAAUGUUCUUGUAGUUACAGGGUUAGUAGUUAUACAUGAUGAUAAUACAGGUCAGUACUUGGGUUUAGAGAGCAAAGACAUGUUUACAAGUCCAAGGUGCCAGUGGGCUCAAAGGAGCACUUCUUUGAAGGAGCGUCAGUUUGUGUAGGCUGUAGGGUUGCAAGUGUUCAGACUGUUCUUCCCCGUUGCAAGCCGGAGUGCCUGCAGUGGCACGUUCACUAGAGAAAUGUGUGCCAUCUACCAAACUUCUGGAUUUUGAGCUGCUGGCUCUGUCCGAGAUCACCUGAGGAAGAGCCAGACUGCUGUGGUGGUCUGAGCUGGCGAAUCUUGCUUCUGGUGUGAUGAAUGACUUGUCUUUGAAUAACUGUCAUCUGGAAAAGGAGAACCAGAGAAAGCAUUAACGCCAGACCCUUAUGGACUGUGAUUCUUAAACUGAGACAGCCCCGGCUCAGAAAAAAUCUGUUCAUGAAGGGGCCUGGAGUUUCACUCUAUUUGCUGGUGCUUGAAUUAUGUCUCACUGUCAGCCCAGCAAGCUAGGACGUUCCUUAGUUGGACGUUUGGGUUGAUAUUUGGGUUUUUACAAUGUAGAACCAAACGUGAAUGGGUGCAGAAAAUCUCUUUCCUAAUGUCAUUGUUAGGUAUGGACCUACUGCUAAGCUGGUGGAAACUGCUCUCAAAGUGCUCCUGUUUACAGCAUGUUUCAGCCAUGAAAGGAGGGCCAUUCCUUGAAAGCUACAGGCACUGCAAACCUGUAUCCCUAAGUCCCACUUCACCCGAAAUUGGUAGUGCCUUUGUUAUGAGAACCCAAGGGAAGUUACCCUGCGGGCCAGGAAGUUCCCUGUUGAAGAGGCGCAGCUUUAAGGCUAUGGACCUUAUCUUUAAAGUGAAGGUUGGGAAUAACUUGGAGUAAUGUUUCUUUUGGUUAACAAAUCCUUUCUGGAUAAGGGGACAAAACUGACAUUUAACAAAAAGGGCAUAGGGGGAAGGAAUAUCCUUGUCAAGUAGCAAUGACAAAUGGAUUUGCAGCCAGUCACCCGUGAGCUCAGGGUCUAGCUGCCGCUCUGAAAUCCCUCCUGAGGCAGGAAAUGCAGUGCUGUGUUCCUGGUGCUCACCCAUGCAAGGGGCAGCAUUUCUCAGUGGAGAGUUGGUGAGGUUUCCUGGAGGGAUGUCACCCCAGAUGCUGUGAGCUCUUUGGCUUGCACGCGUGUAGAAGAUUUUAAAAAUAAAUAUAUUUUUAGUAACGUUGUCAUGUGAAUACACCACUUGAAUGUGCCCUAAUUUCAUAUAAUUUCUAUCCUUUCAUGCCUACUUCAGAUACUUUCUGCUUGUUUAGCUGAUGCAGAGAUAAAAAGAUUUGCUCCAUUCCUCUAUGAGGAGAGCAGUAAUGGCUAAAUCUGGCUGCUGCUGCCCCUUGGGUGAUCAGAGAGCUGAUUUGUUUGAUUCAGUGGUGUCUAGCCUCCUUGCAGGUGCAGGUCAUGUGCAUGUGCUGAUACUUUUCUUAGCUCUUCAACUCCCUUUGCAAACUUGUUUCUCUAAAGCAUUGUACGCAAGCCAGGUGAGUCUGGCUGUAUUUCAGUCUACUCACAUGUUCUGGCUCAGCCUUCUGACUGACGCAUUCAUUGGCUUUUCUUUAGUUGAGGUGAUUUACUUUAUCAUUCUUUAGGUGUUUCUCUUCAUUGGACGAAUGGGUUUUACAGUCUUUAAGUUUUCUCACCUUGCAGGAAUGAAUGGUUCCAAGAACAUUUUUAAUAUUAACAGUUGAAUGAUUUUGAUCAAAGAGGGGAUCUCAAACUGUAGGUCUUAUCAUGAAAAUAAUUUAGACGGCACUUGAUUUUGCUGUAGUAGGUGCUUAGAAUUGGAGGAGGGAAAGAUGCGGAUACAGCUAAAACUUGUAACGAGGCCCCUGUUCUGGUACUAAGUAGGCAAAAGUUAAUUAAUUUGAAGAUUACCCAGGAGUGUGCCAGCCCAAUAUCUAUGCGCCACAUACAUACACAAAGACCCAGAGGUCUUUGAGCUGGUCCUCUUUAAAGGAGAGAAUUUCAUCCUAUGGCGAAUCAAAUGAUGAUUCUGAGACUGUAACGUAGUAUUGUUGCCACUUUUAAUCUGAUCCUGUUUUGGCUAGAGACAGGUUUGAGCCAUAGUCAGUGACCCUGUGUGGCUCUUCUUUUUCCUCUGAACCAUCCUGCGUGUUAGGAGGAGUCUGUAGUCUGUGUUUGCUCUUUGUAGACCAAGACUUGACGUUCCUGCUCCGUUGGACUUCUGGUUGUUCUAAAUCGUUGUUAGUGCGUUUUGUGAGAGGAGAAAACAAAGAUGCUAAUAAUAGAGAUCUGAGACUCCUUCGAGUACAAAUCUAUUGCUCAGUACACCUUUUACCAAUCUCAUUUCUCCUGAAAGAAGAAUGUAAAUUGAAACUAGAGUAGCAGCCCGUCCUCAAAGAGGUGGAGCACUGUACCCACGGGCAAUCAGCGUGAAGCCAGUAUAGGCUUUUAGGGGAGAAUCUUGCUAAUAAUAGUGGCUUUUAAAGCCUUGCAUUGUAUUUUCCUAAUAUGAGAGCAGUUCAGUAGGUUAUUUCAAUUACAAUUUUUGUUACUUCAGGUGUAUUUAGUUUCCAUGUUAACAGCCUAGUAGGUCUCUUCGAAACAGAGCUUGUAAUAGUUUUUUAGAAUAUAUUUAGAUCUACAGAUGCUUGUGAACCCUAAGCCAGCUGCAUGAGACACAGCUCUGGUCUGGAAGCUGCACAGCUGCAUUGAUGCAGUGCUGUGCUUGUAUGCAUACAUGCUGCUCGGAGGAACGCGUGUCGGUGUUUGGGCAGGCUUACACCUCACAAGCUGCUGCUGCGCUUUCUUUUUUCUGGAAUGAAUCAGGGUGUUAGUGGGAGGCACUGUGGACCCUCGCUGCUGCCUUUUACUGUUGGCCUGCCCCCAGCGCUCCUGCCAGUCCUUGCCAAAAGCCUGACUUGGCCAAAGGCUGUCAGAGCUGAUGCGAGCAAGGGGUGCUGAGGACCAAGACUGGAGUACGCAGUUCCCUACGAUGCUGCACAGUCACCAACCUAUGUGUGUCACAAGUGACUGCUAUGGAGCCUGCUUGAAACAAUCACUAUUGUUUAAGCCAAAGCCUAACUUUAAAAGUUUACAUAAUUGCCUCUCUGAUCUUCUUGGAGGGCUGUAUCGAAUCCUCCACUGUUGAUAUUGAACUACUAGGCAAAUCGACGGGACCGUGUGCUGAGGUUAAUGAGAUUGACGGAGAGUGAUAUGAGCAUCAGCUCUCUAUUGUUAAUAACAUACUUCUGUUUUGUUUAAUUUGUACAUGUGACUUGAAUGGGAGCCGCAGCAUUAAAGUGCUGGGAGAUGGACUUGUGGUCUGAACAGAUUGCCAAGAAGUCAAUAAAACAGCACUUGAGUGCAUUGUGUUAUUGUCUGUGCUUUCAGAAAUGGAGGAGCUAGUCUUUCACUCUCCUGCUCGGAUCGUUGAUUUAUUUUUAAAUGGCAACCAGUCCUGUAUUGAUUGAUUGUUUUACUUUCCUUUUGUUUACAGCAUCCACCUCCAUUGUAUCUUCAAACAAAUAAAAUAAAACAUUCCAUUUCACCAGA